GUAGGGAAUAUUGCGCAAUGGACGAAAGUCUGACGCAGCGACGCCGCGUGAGUGAUGAAGGCCUUAGGGUCGUAAAGCUCUGUUGAAUGGGAAGAAAAAAAUGACGGUACCAUUCGAGGAAGGACCGGCCAACUUCGUGCCAGCAGCCGCGGUAAUACGAGGGGUCCUAGCGUUGUUCGGAAUCAUUGGGCGUAAAGGGUGUGUAGGUGGCCAUGUAAGUCAGGUGUGAAAGCCCCGGGCUCAACCCGGGAAGUGCACUUGAUACUGCGUGGCUUGAGUACCGAAGAGGGUAGUGGAAUUCCAGGUGUAGUGGUGAAAUACGUAGAUAUCUGGAGGAACACCGGUGGCGAAGGCGGCUACCUGGUCGAGUACUGACACUGAGACACGAAAGCAUGGGGAUCAAACAGGAUUAGAUACCCGGGUAGUCC
rnacentral:rRNA from 1 species